rnacentral:rRNA from 1 species
CCCGCUGAACUUAAGCAUAUCAAUAAGCGGAGGAAAAGAAACUAACAAGGAUUCCCCUAGUAACUGCGAGUGAAGCGGGAAAAGCUCAAAUUUAAAAUCUGGUGGUCUUAUGGCUAUCCGAAUUGUAAUUUAGAGAAGUAAUAUCCGCGUUGGACCGUGUACAAGUUUCCUGGAAUGGAACAUCAUAGAGGGUGAGAAUCCCGUCUUUGACACGGACUACCAAGGCUUUGUGAUAUGCUCUCGAAGAGUCGAGUUGUUUGGGAAUGCAGCUCAAAAUGGGUGGUAAAUUCCAUCUAAAGCUAAAUAUUGGCGAGAGACCGAUAGCGAACAAGUACCGUGAGGGAAAGAUGAAAAGAACUUUGGAAAGAGAGUUAAACAGUACGUGAAAUUGUUGAAAGGGAAACGCUUGAAGUCAGUCGCGUUGGUCAGAAAUCAGCCUUACUUUUGUUUGGUGUACUUUCUGGUUGACGGGUCAGCAUCAAUUUUGACCAUUGGAUAAAGUCUCUGGGAAUGUGGCAUCCUUUUUGGAUGUGUUAUAGCCCUUUGUCGCAUGCAGUGGUUGGGAUUGAGGAACUCAGCACGCUCCGCGAGGGGCCAGGUUUCGACCAUGUUCGUGCUUAGGAUGCUGGCAUAAUGGCUUCAAUCGACCCGUCUUGAAACACGG